rnacentral:rRNA from 1 species
GUGGCGCACGGGUGCGUAACGCGUGGGGAUCUACCAUGGGGUGCGGAAUAACUCAGAGAAAUUUGAGCUAAUACCGCAUAAUGUCUUCGGACCAAAGAUUUAUCGCCCUUUGAUGAACCCGCGUAGGAUUAGCUUGUUGGUGAGGUAAGAGCUCACCAAGGCGACGAUCUUUAGCUGGUCUGAGAGGAUGAUCAGCCACACUGGGACUGAGACACGGCCCAGACUCCUACGGGAGGCAGCAGUGGGGAAUAUUGGACAAUGGGCGAAAGCCUGAUCCAGCAAUGCCGCGUGAGUGAUGAAGGCCUUAGGGUUGUAAAGCUCUUUUACCAGGGAUGAUAAUGACAGUACCUGGAGAAUAAGCUCCGGCUAACUCCGUGCCAGCAGCCGCGGUAAUACGGAGGGAGCUAGCGUUGUUCGGAAUUACUGGGCGUAAAGCGCGCGUAGGCGGUUACUCAAGUCAGAGGUGAAAGCCCGGAGCUCAACUCCGGAACUGCCUUUGAAACUAGGUGACUAGAAUCUUGGAGAGGCGAGUGGAAUUCCGAGUGUAGAGGUGAAAU